GAUGAACGCUGGCGGCGUGCCUAAUACAUGCAAGUCGAGCGAACGGACGAGAAGCUUGCUUCUCUGAUGUUAGCGGCGGACGGGUGAGUAACACGUGGAUAACCUACCUAUAAGACUGGGAUAACUUCGGGAAACCGGAGCUAAUACCGGAUAAUAUUUUGAACCGCAUGGUUCAAAAGUGAAAGACGGUCUUGCUGUCACUUAUAGAUGGAUCCGCGCUGCAUUAGCUAGUUGGUAAGGUAACGGCUUACCAAGGCAACGAUGCAUAGCCGACCUGAGAGGGUGAUCGGCCACCCGGGAACUGAGACACGGUCCAGACUCCUACGGGAGGCAGCAGUAGGGAAUCUUCCGCAAUGGGCGAAAGCCUGACGGAGCAACGCCGCGUGAGUGAUGAAGGUCUUCGGAUCGUAAAACUCUGUUAUUAGGGAAGAACAUAUGUGUAAGUAACUGUGCACAUCUUGACGGUAACUAAUCAGAAAGCCACGGCUAACUACGUG
rnacentral:rRNA from 1 species